AGCAAUACUGUUACCUGAAAUAGGCUGCGAAGAUAACAGUAUUUCAGAUAACAGUAUUACAUC
rnacentral:pre_miRNA from 1 species